UACGUAGGGUGCGAGCGUUUGUCCGGAAUUAUUGGGCGUAAAGAGCUCGUAGGCGGUCUGUCGCGUCGAUCGUGAAAACUUGGGGCUUAACCCUGAGCUUGCGGUCGAUACGGGCAUGACUGGAGUUCGGCAGGGGAGACUGGAAUUCCUGGUGUAGCGGUGAAAUGCGUAGAUAUCUGGAGGAACACCGGUGGCGAAGGCGCAUCCUGGACCGGCAUUGGACGCUGAUGAGCGAAAAGCCAGGGGGAGCAAACGGG
rnacentral:rRNA from 1 species